rnacentral:tRNA from 1 species
GGGGCUGUGGCUCAGCAGUAGAGCGUUCAUCUCUCAUAUGUGAGACCUGGGUUUGAUCCUCAGCACCA